GUUGAGGAAGCCAGGAAGGGGCGGGUCAUGAAUCCAUGAUUAUUAAUUAGGGUGUGUUAUGUGUGUUUAGAAAUAGAAGUAGAAGACAAUAGAAGAGUGGGCUUUCUCUCUGUGUCUCCUCCAAACUCAUAAACCCCACUCUCUCACUAUUCAGCCUCCACCUUCUCUCUAACUCCUAUUCGUCCAUUAAUCUGAAGAAAAAAAGUGAGAAGAUUGAUUCUGUUAUGUUCUGAAUUUCCUAUCACAAAAGUUUUAACCAAAAUGGAAAGUGAAAAGUCUAAUGUUUCAAAGGCUGAAGAACUUAAACUCCUUGCUAAUGAAGCAUUCAAUGCUCGAAAAUAUGCUCAAGCCAUUGAUCUAUAUACACAAGCAAUUGAGCUAAACAGUCAAAAUGCAGUUUACUUGGCUAAUCGUGCCUUUGCCCAUCUUCGGCUUGAGGAAUAUGGUAGUGCAAUACAAGAUGCUACAAAAGCUAUUGAAAUUGAUCCUAAAUAUUCAAAGGGUUAUUACAGGCGAGGUGCUGCUCAUCUUGGGCUGGGAAAGUUCAAGGAAGCGCUGAAAGAUUUUCAGCAGGUAAAAAAAAUGUGUCCAAAUGAUCCUGAUGCAACAAAGAAAUUGAAGGAAUGUGAAAAAGCAGUUAUGAAACUUAAAUUUGAAGAAGCAAUUGCUGUACCAGAGUCUCAAAGGCGUUCAGUAGCAGAAUCCAUAGAUUUCCAUUCGAUAGGAAAGGGCCGCAAUUCUUCGGUGCCAACCGAAGUGGCCAUAGCAGCAGUGACAGUAGCAGUUAUGGCAGCAGCGGUGAUGUUGUUCAGGACAUCAAAGACCACAAUAGUAGUUGCAAUUGUGGUUGGUUUGCUGUUGCUCCUUGGGGCUUUUUGGUGGACUGGCCACGAUACUGAUGUCGAGCCACAAUAUUCAGGAGCAAGAAUAGAAGGGGAUGUUGUUACUUUGGAUUUUGUAAAGAAGAUGAUGGAAGAUUUCAAGAAUCAGAAGUGCUUGCAUAAACGGUAUGCAUUCCAAAUUGUAUUGCAAACAAGAGAGAUGUUGCAAGCUUUGCCUUCUCUUGUUGACAUAAAUGUUCCUGAUGGCAAACAUUUUACUGUUUGUGGUGAUGUGCAUGGUCAGUACUAUGAUCUUCUGAAUAUUUUUGAGCUUAAUGGGCUUCCUUCAGAAGAGAAUCCGUAUCUAUUUAAUGGUGAUUUUGUGGAUAGGGGAUCUUUUUCUUUGGAAGUUAUCCUCACUUUGUUUGCAUUUAAGUGCAUGUCUCCAUCAGCCAUAUAUUUAGCUAGGGGAAAUCAUGAGAGCAAGAGCAUGAACAAGAUAUAUGGUUUUGAGGGUGAGGUGCGCUCGAAGUUGAAUGACACAUUUGUCGAACUAUUUGCUGAAGUUUUCUGCUGUUUACCUUUGGCUCAUGUUAUCAACGAGAAAAUUUUUGUAGUUCAUGGAGGUCUUUUUAGUGUUGAUGGGGUCAAACUCUCUGACAUUCGAUCAAUUAAUCGAUUUUGUGAGCCUCCUGAAGAAGGGUUGAUGUGUGAAUUGCUAUGGAGUGAUCCACAACCUCAGCCUGGAAGAGGCCCAAGCAAGCGUGGUGUAGGCCUUUCUUUUGGUGCAGAUGUGACAAAAAGGUUUUUGCAGGAAAAUAAUUUAGAUUUAGUUGUGCGGUCUCAUGAAGUAAAGGACGAAGGUUAUGAGAUUGAACAUGAUGGUAAACUUAUAACUGUGUUUUCUGCUCCAAAUUACUGUGACCAGAUGGGUAACAAAGGUGCCUUUAUUCGAUUUGAGGCACCCGAUAUGAAACCUAACAUUGUCACAUUCUCAGCUGUGCCACAUCCUGACGUCAAGCCAAUGGCCUAUGCAAACAACUUCCUCCGGAUGUUCCAAUAAUUUCUAUAGCUGACUAGUAGCCUAGACUGCCAAUGCUUUGUGCUGCUUUGCAAUGUCAACGUUAUGCCCCAACAAGGGCAAGAUUCAGGGUAGACUAAUUAAUUUAAAUUAUCCUUACUAGCGGCGCUCCAUGAUGAUUGGAAUUAUCAACGGGCAAUUCCCCAAUGUGAAGCCAGACAGGGAAGAGUGAUAAAGUUGUAAAAUUACGGACUUCAACCGAAUUGCAAUGAAGUUGUCAACCAAGUUACCAAAAAACAAGGUCCAAGGAAUGUUGAUUAUUUAUAUUACAUAUGGUAUUAAAUUCUGUGUGAAUGAUAUAUUAGCUCUUUUUAAAUAUUAUUUAUAUUAUGAAAACUAUUAUAAGAUUAUGAGUUGAGUUUAUGGAGAUUUUACAAGUUCAUGUAGAUUCUUCUGGUUGACAAGCUUAUUAGCAAAUAUUAGAAAUCAAUGUAUCAAUUAAUGUAGCAAAUAUUACAUAGUUCAGAUUAGUAAAUUUUAGAACUGUAAGCACCCUAUGGUGUGUGUUCGCAUUAAGGAAUUAAUGUAUCAAUUCUAUUCAUCUUUCCUUG